ACCCUCUGGUUCUCUUUCCCAUCUGAUUUGAACACUGGUCUUGGUGGUAGUUAAAGGAGGAAAAGGAACAAUAAAGCUGGCGUCCCAGUGCUUAUAGUCUGGUAUAUAGCUUGUGGGCUGUUUCAAACAAGG
ensembl:snoRNA